UUUUUAGUGUAAGUAUAUCCUAUGUAAUAUUUGGGACAUACUCAUACUAAAA
rfam:Myotis lucifugus cont2.42210, whole genome shotgun sequence.